AUUGAACGCUGGCGGCAUGCCUUACACAUGCAAGUCGAACGGCAGCACGGGUGCUUGCCCCUGGUGGCGAGUGGCGAACGGGUGAGUAAUACAUCGGAACAUGUCCUGUAGUGGGGGAUAGCCCGGCGAAAGCCGGAUUAAUACCGCAUACGAUCCACGGAUGAAAGCGGGGGACCUUCGGGCCUCGCGCUAUAGGGUUGGCCGAUGGCUGAUUAGCUAGUUGGUGGGGUAAAGGCCUACCAAGGCGACGAUCAGUAGCUGGUCUGAGAGGACGACCAGCCACACUGGGACUGAGACACGGCCCAGACUCCUACGGGAGGCAGCAGAGGGGAAUUUUGGACAAUGGGCGAAAGCCUGAUCCAGCAAUGCCGCGUGUGUGAAGAAGGCCUUCGGGUUGUAAAGCACUUUUGUCCGGAAAGAAAUCCUUGACUCUAAUACAGUCGGGGGAUGACGGUACCGGAAGAAUAAGCACCGGCUAACUACGU
rnacentral:rRNA from 1 species